GUAUGUUGAACAAAGAUUUUCGAUUUCUCCAGACCUGUUUUAUCAUAUAAAAGCAGUUCUGAAUUACAUCUCAAUCUGUGUGUUGAUGUAACCAGGCUACAGAGUUCAGAAAGAGGUCUGUGUGUAAAAUGUGUGUGCGUGACUUGACUCCUGAUCUCCUGAUGUCGUAAAUAAUGAGUGUGUUUCACUAAUCUGCUAUUCAUGGCAAAUAUAUGUUGUAGCUUUAGCCUUUUACUGACUUUUAUGAAGUAGUCCAGGAUGUGAUAAGAAUUUCAGGGACACCCAUGUCUGGAAAUUGUUUAUGGUUGACUUCCUUUGAUCUGGGCUGGAGAAGAGGAAGGAAAAGGGGGGGGGGGGACCUCCCCCAUCUGACUGAUGACCCACAAAGAGGAAGGGAGCUGGGAGGAGCCUCAAGGCCGAAGAAUGCUUCCGAGGCGGGAGUUGUCAUGGAGACGGAAGAUGGGCGAGAAGGGGAGUUGUUGUGUUGAAUAAAAGAGGGGGGCCCGGUUGGUUCGGGGCUGGAGAAGUUCUUGGGGAGUUCUGAGUGAGAGUCUGUACCUGUUCGGUGUUUUUGACCCACUGCGUCGGGAAUUUGGAAUAUUUUUUUACUUCAUCAUAUAAAAUAAAAACUUUUGUUCCUUCUUAUAAGGAGCUUUGAAACGGAUCUCCUGCCUGGGGUCUCCUUGGUGUCGCGUAACCGCAGAAAGGCAGCAGAGAUUCAUGGACUCCUGCGGAGAGUGGGAGGAAGAGGAGGUAGAUCGACCCCUCCCACGACCUCCUGAUAAGACUUGCUGGGAGAGUUGGAGAGGAGGUAUCUUAUGUUGUAUCGGCUUAUUAAUCUGUGUGGUAGCGAUAUCUUUUAUCUCACUGCCUGUUUCACGAGUUGUAACACUCAAAACCACGGCUGUGGUUAAAGGGUGGGUUCACAAGAGACCAGGAACCCUAGACCUACCUAGAGUGUCGUGCCUGACUCCUCAUGAGGAGAACUUUAAUGCCACUCAGUGGAUGGAAUAUUGUAAGGCUGUUACACAGGGCUGUCCAAUCCCUGAUCCAGGCGAAGCCUGUACCCUCACAUCUACCGGCUGGCUGAUGUGGUUAGAAAAGCUCAAUAAUGUCACCGACAGCCAUAAUUCUACUUACGGGCUGUUAGGAUGGGAGGAAGGAAAACUUAAAGUGUGGGACUACGCAAAUGAUGUGCAACCUGUAGAAUGUAUUACUAAAAUUUACCAUUUUGGGGUGCUAACUGUCUGGGGAGAAUAUAUAACUGGUUUUGACAAGGUUUCUGAUUGCAUGAUAUUUAGACUCCUUGCAUUAGAGAAUGGAACUGUUCUGGUUCCUUUCAUUUUCCUAAUAGAGCAGGGAAAUGUUGGUUAAGUGAAAGGGCUAGAAUGUCUGAUUGGCAAUUUAUCCAAAAGGGUUUUAAAAUUAUAGGCCAAGGAUUGACCCUGGGUGUCAGGGAGGCUGUUACGGUGGUCGCUCAAGGGGCAGUGAGUGUUGCUUCCUUGGUAAUCUCUGAGUUAUGGUUUUACGCCAAGGUCCCCUUGAUCGUAGGAGGGGUGCUGGUGAUGUUAUCUGUAUGUGUUAAACUCAUGCAUCUUUUGAAGUGUUUUGCCAGCUGCAGCAGGAGAUCUGCUAAUCUACCCCGAGAGGAAGAGGAGGAGCCUCCUGAGUCAAUUAGACUGAGACCACAUGGAAGACAGGCACUCAGACACAGAGCUGUACACAGGUAUCAUCUUCCUUGAAGAGAAGCUCUGAGGUGAAAUGGCCCAUGCAGGAACUCCACGUGAGGUAUUUGGAGAAGCAGAUGAGGAUGUGCUGCUUACCUCGGUGAGACUGUCUCUACUGGCUAAUCUUACCGGCGGGACGUGCUAAUAUUAGAUGCACAAGAGGCAUAAGUGAGGACUCUUGAAGUGUUGAUGUGAUAACUUUUACUUAAUGCAUGAUGAGAGAAUGUUGGUACAUCCUGUUACCUGAUCAGGAUGGAAAGGCCCACUAAUAUAUUGUGGUUAUUAGUUUGCAUGCUGUAACUUGUAUAUUCCUGCUGGAAAGCAGUAAAGACCUGUGGCCUGCAUUAGAGGUCUCUGGGAUUUUUACAUACCUAUUAAUGGCAUGUUUGAUAUCAUUAUAUGAAUGUGUUGUACUAACAGAAUUGAUCAUGAGAAGUGUCUGGUUUUAUUUUGUGAGAAAGACCUGACCUCUUGUUCACAGAGGAAGGUAGAGUACUGCUGACCCCUAGUGGGGUCAUGAAGGUCGUGCAUGAAUGGAGCCAGAGCCAGGGUCUGUUCAUUGUCUCUGUGUGUGUUAUCAUAGGUCAAUGAGUCAGAGGAUUUGCCGACUGACCCAAACUCUCAGGAGAUGCUGGAGCUGCCACCCAGUGGACAGAAGCCGCUGGUGAACAGGCGACGUCAGCCUGGUGUGAUGCAACCCAAAAGUUUCCCUUUACGGGCUGGUAGAUAAUAGACCCGUGAGACUAAACCCAAAUGGCCUUUGGAAUGCAGAUGUUUGGGAACGUAUUGUGUUAGUCUCUGAUGGUGAUAGUCAUAAAGGAACUCGAGUGACCAGGAGGGAAAAGAUUCUUCAGAGAAUUACACGCUCGACUCUGAUUAAGCAUUAUGAUUGUGUCAGACGUGAUAUGUCGCGGGGCCAGACGCGCAUGCCCUGCUUACUCUCUCAUUUCAGGGAAGGCGAUGUGGAUUGGUGUUGGAUUAGUACACCCUACAAAGACUACGUACAGGAGUGCGAAGAACCAAGGCGUGUGGUCAGAAUGCAGCCAUCACCUGCACAGGUGGACGUUCCGAUGCAGGAAAUGAGCCAUCCGGAGUUCGAUCUGCGUCAGCAGCUUCAGACCGCUCCGUCUGUGUGCAAUCCGGCUUUACAAGUCCAGGCCAUGGUGCCACCAGUGAUGAAAGCAAUAAAUCCGCAUGUUUGCUUGUGUCCAGGAAAUUUGAAUAUGCAGUAUUUUCCACAGUUCCAGAUGAUGCCGGUGAACUCAGCCUGGUUCCAAGGGGGGUGUUGAACAAAGAUUUUUGAUUUCUCCAGACCUGUUUUAUCAUAUAAAAGCAGUAUUGAAUUACAUCUCAAUCUGUGUGUUGAUGUAACCAGGCUACAGAGUUCAGAAAGAGGUCUGUGUGUAAAAUGUGUGUGCGUGACUUGACUCCUGAUCUCCUGAUGUCGUAAAUAAUGAGUGUGUUUCACUAAUCUGCUAUUCAUGGCAAAUAUAUGUUGUAGCUUUAGCCUUUUACUGACUUUUAUGAAGUAGUCCAGGAUGUGAUAAGAAUUUCAGGGACACCCAUGUCUGGAAAUUGUUUAUGGUUGACUUCCUUUGAUCUGAGCUGGAGAAGAGGAAGGAAAAGGGGGGGGGGGGGACCUCCCCCAUCUGACUGAUGACCCACAAAGAGGAAGGGAGCUGGGAGGAGCCUCAAGGCCGAAGAAUGCUUCCGAGGCGGGAGUUGUCAUGGAGACGGAAGAUGGGCGAGAAGGGGAGUUGUUGUGUUGAAUAAAAGAGGGGGGCCCGGUUGGUUCGGGGCUGGAGAAGUUCUUGGGGAGUUCUGAGUGAGAGUCUGUACCUGUUCGGUGUUUUUGACCCACUGCGUCGGGAAUUUGGAAUAUUUUUUUACUUCAUCAUAUAAAAUAAAAACUUUUGUUCCUUCUUAUAAGGAGCUUUGAAACGGA